UACGGGGGGGCGAAGCGUUGUUCGGAAUUACUGGGCGUAAAGGGCGCGUAGGCGGUUGGAUAAGUCAGCUGGUAACGAAACCACGGGCUUAACUCGUGGCCUGCAGUUGAGACUGUCUGGCUUGAGUGUGGGAGAGGAGAGUGGAAUUCCUGGUGUAGCGGUGAAAUGCGUAGAUAUCAGGAGGAACACCGGUGGCGAAGGCGGCUCUCUGGACCACAACUGACGCUGAGGCGCGAAAGCUAGGGGAGCAAACAGG
rnacentral:rRNA from 1 species